UUUUCCUAACAUAUAUUAUAUUAGUAAACCUUGUAGCAUAUAUCAGUAUGGUCAUUAAUAACACGUGGCUUUGGAGUGUCCAGAGGCAUGCAUGAGAGUAAGAAAGUAUGAGAAAGAAAAAAAAAGAUACUUAGAAUGAGAGUGAGUCGUCGUUAACAAAACAUGAACGAGAGUGAGUAAAAGAGAGUGGCGAGUGGAUUUUAUAACCUCAAAAUAGCUUAUAAUGGUCAAAUGGAUUACUGGGGCUAAAUUAAUCAUAUCAGAUCCAGUAUGAACGAAAUUAAACUAUUAUCAUGUACUUUUCAACUAUCGAAAUGGUGCGUACUAUUUGUUUCAUAUAGUUUCAUAUGAUAUGAUGGUAUGACGAUGUAUAAUCAUGUUUACCAACAUUGUAUGUGUUGAAUACUUAAUAAUGCUUCCUUUGUCUUUUUUUUUCUUUUUUUGGUAUCACUGUAAUUUAUACAUAUCCUACCGUUAUCUAAUUUAUUGCAUUUUGUGGAGAUAUAAUCUUUUCUUCUAUUCCCAAGAGUCCAUGUCUAUUGACAAAAGUGCACUCCCUUAAACACAUUACUUUACUUAAUUCAACAAUGAGUUCAACAUGACAAAUUAUAUAUAAUGAAGUAUGAUCUUUAAAUAUAACAAAGUCAUUAAGAAUCUUAGUGACAAUGUGUUAGGACUCUAGCUAGGAGAAUCCUAAUUGAGAGGGACAUUCAUGUAAAACCUACCUAAGCCG
rnacentral:lncRNA from 1 species